GGCAACUUGGCCGAGCGGUCUAAGGCGCCAGACUCAAGCGAUUAGCUUGAUCCUCCCAGAGGAUUAGCAUUCUGGUCUCGAAAGAGGCGUGAGUUCGAAUCUCACAGUUGUCA